rnacentral:rRNA from 1 species
UGGCGACCGGCGCACGGGUGAGUAACGCGUAUCCAACCUGCCCUUUACUAUGGGACAGCCCGUCGAAAGGCGGAUUAAUACCGCAUGUUGUCAUGUUGAUGCAUAUUUUCAUGACCAAAGGCUUCGGCCGGUAAAGGAUGGGGAUGCGUCUGAUUAGCUUGCCGGCGGGGUAACGGCCCACCGGGGCGACGAUCAGUAGGGGUUCUGAGAGGAAGGUCCCCCACAUUGGAACUGAGACACGGUCCAAACUCCUACGGAAGGCAGCAG